AGUAUCGUUAGUCACGUGAUGGGUUUUUUUAUACUAAAAAAAUUGACGGUGGAAAGUGGUGAAAGUGUUACAAUUAAAAGGGACGGACAUUGCCUCCGAAAAGUUACCUCUCCUAACUUUCGUGGCUUCUCCCAGUGUAUGAGGAGUACUGCAGGGGAACUGCUUAUGGCCUCUUCAGUUCAGUGAAACGAAACAUAUGGUGAUUGUUACUAUUCUGAUUUGCUGAUGAUUUGCAGAAAGUCUAUGAUGAUACAAAGGCUUGUGGCUGUGGAAGCUCCCUUUGGGAGUCAUGCUUGCCUGUAUAUUUUUCUUUUUUAUAUAUACUUUGGAGUUCGUGCGUAAAAAAAUAUAUAUAUAUCAUAUAUUUCUGUCAAUUUCGUCAAGGCAAAACCGUGAAAACAGCGUGUAUAGUAAUCAAUUGCAUUUUGUUCUCACAGAUCAUAACUGUGUCAGUUAUGGUCUAAUAAUUUUGAUAAGUCUUUCAUUCUCACAAUAAUACUUUUAGUCAUGUUUCUCAUUUAACAUAAAAGAUGCAUACAUUGUACUUCGUCAUGUCAUUCAUUUUGCUUCAUGAUCCACAUUAAUUUCCUCACUUGUACCGAGUGUCUUGUAAAAAGAUAUUCCCACAAGGUGAAUUUAAAAUUAUCGUUAAGUAGCCUUCAGCUUUAAAGGAACUAAGAAUCUUAGCUUUAAGAAGCUGAGGCAGUGAGACAUUAAUUUAUGCUUUUAGUAUUUUUUUAUUUAAACUUUCGUGAGCUGCUCAAGAGAGAGAAAGGAAAGUCAUCCGAUCAUUUACCACUUAAGAUAUUAUAUUACCAAUUUCAGGUGUCCUACUUGCCAGCACUGAGCGUGCCUUAUCGUGCGAAAUUUACUACACAGUUCCCUGUACACGAGUACUGUAGCUUUACGUCUUCCUUGUGUUUUUUUUUAUUUUUAUUUUCUGAUGUAGAGGGCAAGUGGGAUCAAUGCACAGUAUCUGUGCCCUGUCCCACUCUGAGAGACAGUAAAAAUUUCAUUUGUCCAGUCUGGAAGCCUCUGCUUGUCAAGCAUACCGUGUCGCUGUGAUCUGACCAACAGUUUUAGACUUUUGACAAGACCGACAGUUUUAGACUUUUAUAACAGACUAACAGUGCUAGACUUUUAUAACAGACCAACAGUUUUAGACUUUUAUAAUAGACCAACAGUUCUAGACUUUUAUAACAGACCAGCAGUGCUAGAUUUUUAUUGCUGACCAACAGUUUAAGACUUUCAUGCAGAUUAACAGUGCUGGACUUUUAUAACAGACCAAUAACAGUUUUAAGACUUAUACAGACUAACAGUGCUAGACUUUUAUAACAGACCAACAUUUUAAGACUUUUAUAUAACAGACUCUUUGCCUUUAGACCUUGGUAUUGCUAAUCUCAUCCAGUUUAAUAUAAAUGGACGGCAUUAUUGGGGAGGGGGGAAAACUCGUUUACACAUAGGAUUUGGUACUGUCACGCAAAAAACAAAAACAAAAAAAAAGUGUCCUUUCCCCAAUUUCAGUGAAACGUGAGGCGUCAAGUGACACAUUUGUAUAGUAAAGAGCCUUUUUCACUUUUUAAUAAAAAGGUUCUGUGAGAAGUAUAAUAACCGUUCCAAAAGCGAAAAGGUAUUUGCAGACUGGUUAAUUUUUGCAUGUUCCACUUUUGAUGACGUAAAUAAAUAAAUAAAAAAAAAAGUGCCAAAUGACACACAAACAGUAGUAACAUUUCUGACGUGAAUGAGUUUCUUACUGGUGAGCUACAGUGCUCUGUUGGGAAAACGUAAAUCACAUUUGUUAACGAAAAUAUUUACAAGGAAGUUGUCAACUCUUACAAAGCUUCUUGUAAAACUGUAUAGAAACUUAAGCUCCUCGAACACUUGUCAUUCUAGGAUUCCUUACAAAAGUGUGACGAGGUUUAAAUAUGUCGUUUUCUACUUUGUAAUAAUUCAAAGGGUCACACGUAUGCCUAUGCAAAGGUAACUACUACUACUACUGCAUUUAAUGUGGUUUUAUAUAUAUAUAUAUAAUAUAUGUAAUGUCGCUUACAGACAGGUGAAGGUGAGCCUAGGAAAUUGCUUUUAGGUGUUUACAAAAAAUUUGGAAAAUUUUUUGAUGUACUAAAAGUUUGUAGAGAUGGUGUUUUGGUCUCUCACUUUUGUUUUUAGGUUAAACAAUAAAUCAUAUUCAUAAUCUCGAAGUGGAGGACAAUGAAAAUGGGAAGAAAGUGAGAAGUGAUAAAAAAAAAACAUUUUAAGUUGAAAAAAAUUUAAGUGACGCCAGGAAAUGUGAUGUGAUUAAUAAGGAGUUUUUACGUUAGUGUCAGACAAAAUGAGCUCAUCCGUUUUUCUGUAAGUCUUGGGUUAAUGUUCAUAUGUCAGUGUACUUUCCUAAUAGGAAAUAAAUGGACUUAAUUCAGUUCAGUGAUCAACAUCCAUGCAGGCCCAGAUCAGCAUGUAUAAUUUUUUUCAAGAAUUUUUAUUUUUAUUCAAUUUUUUUUUUAUUUUGUUAUCCACCAUCUUACUCAGGAUUCUUAUAUACUGUAUAAGGCUUUCAAAACGUUGUUCACAAUGAACUUUCUCUUUUUUUUUUCAAAUAUAUCUUUUAGUGUUCCGUAUGAGUCUAGCUAGCUAGUGGUUUUUGCUUUAGACAGCUUAGAGAGUCUAUAGCUAGUGGUUUUUUUUUAUUUUUGCUUAGAAAGCUUAGUGAUAGUGCUACUACGUCUCUCUCGUACUAUUUUUUUUUUUAACUUCUGAUUCCUCAGUAAUACUCAGGUGUCAUUACUUAUCGUGAAUCACAUUUGUCAUUCAGCUUGCCCAGACGCCCCUGGGCGUUAUAAUAACUGUUCUUGUGUACUCAAGUGGAUGUGGUGGUGUGCUGUCUUCUUUGUAUACUAUUCUUCUCAUGUUAGUCCGAGUGCACGAAUGAAAAUAACAACAAACAAACCGUUACGCUUUUCCUCCUCGUGUGUCUCAUUCUAAACAGGUUUAGAAAAUGGGAAAAAUUUGGGGAAAAAGUCUGUCCUAAGUCUCUCCUGUCUCUGUGUCUCGUCCUAAACAGGUUUAGAAAUUCGGGUAAGGUUUAGAAAAUGUGGUAAAUAUUCGAAAAAGUCUGUCCUAAGUCUCUCCUGUCUUUGUGCCUCGUCCUAAACAGGUUUAGAAAAUGAGGUAAAUUUUCGGAAAAGUCUGUCCAAAGUCUCUCCUGUCUCUGUGUCUCGUCCUAAACAGGUUUAGAAAAUGGAUAAAAUUUGCGAAAAAGUCCCAAGUGAGUCUAUGCUAAGUCUCUAUCUCUGUCUCGUCCUAUACAGGUUCAGAAAAAGGGGAAAAUUUACGAAAAGGUCUGCUCUUAAUUCUCUCUCUCUCUCUCUCUCAUUGGCAGCACCACUUCAUAUUCAGGCGUAAAAGCUCAAAAUAAGGAAAUGAUGACGAGUGAUGACUGAGUCCGUGGUAAUGAAGAGUUCCAGUCUUUCUGAUCUUUUUUUGUUUUGUUCAUGAUCCUUCGUGUGCACUUCCCAGCCCAGCAGUGAUCAUUGUCGCAAUUAUUCGUUUGUGUUUCUAAAUGAAUCGGUCAAGUUUCACAGCCGACUCCUCCAGCUUCCAUAUGUUUCUCAUCUUCUUCUUCUUCUUUUUCUUCUUCGUUUCGCUUAAUACUUUUCCCCCUUCGAAUGUUACUAGUCUUAGUUUAACCAAACAUCAUUUUUUGAUGCUUUUUGCAGAUUCUGUGACCUGAAACUAAUGUAUAGUAAGAGUUAUAGUCUUAGUAGAGUUUUAAGGCCGACGAUCCAAGUGUCCCGACUUGGGUCUGUAGUUUUAUGAAAGCCCGACGAUCCGAAUAUAUCCCAUUUGGGUCUGCAGUUUUAUGAAAGCCCGACGGUCCAAGUGUCCUCCCAGUUUGGGUCUGUAGUUUUAUGAAAGCCAGACCAUCCGAAUAUAUAUCCCAAUUUUGGGUCUGUUGAUUUGUAUGACUUAUGAUGAGGAUGAUGAUGAUGACAUAUCACGCAGAGUGCAUACUGUACUUCCUCUGCUUCUCUAGAAAGGGGCUGUCAAUAUUUCUAGUAUUUUUUUUU